rnacentral:misc_RNA from 1 species
CAAUAAGAGUGUUUAUGGCACUCUUCAAAAAAUCCAUACCCACCUUGUGUGCAACGUAAGAAGAAAAAAAGAAGAUGCGAGUCAUGGGGAAACCCAAGUCUUGCCCCCUUUCUUUUUUCUUUUCCACAUACACCUUUCUAUUAGUUCCUAUUGUCUGAAGCUGUUAGAGAAUGACUAAUUCUUAAACA